GUGGAGGCCCUUGCGCCUGUGGCCUGCACUGCAGGUGAUGAGCAAGACUAGAGAUGAACCACAGCUUGCAUCAGCCUCCUGAGACUGCAAGUAUGAGGACCAUAGGCAAAGAGCACAGGCCAAUCUAUGGGACGUCACUUUGCUGAUGGCAGGGCAAACCAGG
rnacentral:lncRNA from 1 species